GACGAACGCUGGCGGCGUGCCUAAUACAUGCAAGUAGAACGCAGUUGCGAACGGGUGAGUAACGCGUAGGUAACUGCCUCAUAGCGGGGGAUAACUAUUGGAAACGAUAGCUAAUACCGCAUACUGUGAGAUGGACCUGAGUUGUAUUAGCUAGUUGGUGAGGUAAAGGCUCACCAAGGCGACGAGACAUAGCCGACCUGAGAGGGUGAUCUUCCAUGAUGGGACGGGGACACGGCACAGACUCCUACGGGUGGCUGGAGGAGGGAGUCUUAGGCAUAUAAGGGAAGUCGAGCCUGGCAAUGGCGCGGUAAUGAGGAAGGGAUUCGCAUUGUAAAGCUCUGUUGUUAGAGAAGCGUUGAGUACCCAGAAAAGAACGGCUAACUACGUGCCAGCAGCCGCGGUAAUAC
rnacentral:rRNA from 1 species